rnacentral:rRNA from 1 species
GACGAACGCUGGCGGCGUGCCUAAUACAUGCAAGUAGAACGCACAGUUUAUACCGUAGCUUGCUACACCAUAGACUGUGAGUUGCGAACGGGUGAGUAACGCGUAGGUAACCUGCCUGGUAGCGGGGGAUAACUAUUGGAAACGAUAGCUAAUACCGCAUAAUAUUAAUUAUUGCAUGAUAAUUGAUUGAAAGGUGCAAUUGCACCACUACCAGAUGGACCUGCGUUGUAUUAGCUAGUAGGUGAGGUAACGGCUCACCUAGGCGACGAUACAUAGCCGACCUGAGAGGGUGAUCGGCCACACUGGGACUGAGACACGGCCCAGACUCCUACGGGAGGCAGCAGUAGGGAAUCUUCGGCAAUGGACGAAAGUCUGACCGAGCAACGCCGCGUGAGUGAAGAAGGUUUUCGGAUCGUAAAGCUCUGUUGUAAGAGAAGAACGGGUGUGAGAGUGGAAAGUUCACACGGUGACGGGAUCUACCAGA